CUUUGUGUUGCUGGCGCCGCCGCCAGGGGCCGAAGCCGUAGUCGCCGCGAGGAGCCGCCAGUGCGCGCCCGCGGAGGCUAGCUAGGGCUGCCCGUGUGGCCGCCAUGAUCGGUUCGCACCGGAGCAUGGGGCGCCCGCACGCGCCUACGGAGGCUGCGUGACCGACCUGCGUCGGGGCUGGGGCACCCGCCCGCGAGGUUGCGGCGGCGGCCUGCCUGUGCGCGUGGCUCGUCCAUGGACACACAGUACAAUCAUGCAGACGCCACGUAGUACAGUUGUUUCUUGGCGCUGCUCGAUCGAUCGCGCUGGCUGGAUGCGGCAUGCCGCCGUGGUUCUCGGUGGCCCAUCGCCGUCCCCGGGCCGGGGUAUUGUUUCCCGGCUUGCACGCACCACCUCAAAUCAAAGGACGGCGACCACACAUCGUCGUACCUUCAAGGUCAGGUCAGGCAGCCCCUUCAAUUUCGCUAGAUCUGAUGAGACCUCUUUUUUUUUUUGUAUCGGUACUUAUAUUAUUAUUGCUCCUGCUUGAUCCAAAAACCAUUCAACGCUCAUGUAUAGUCAGUCAUGUUUGCUCGUC